GAAAUGCGAUAAGUAGUGUGAAUUGCAGAAUUUAGUGAAUCAUCGAAUCUUUGAACGCACAUUGCGCCCCUUGGUAUUCCAUGGGGCAUGCCUGUUCGAGCGUCAUUUGUACCCUCAAGCUCUGCUUGGUGUUGGGUGUUUGUCCCCGUCUCCGCGCGUGGACUCGCCCCAAAGUGAUUGGCAGCCGGCGUACUGGUCCCGGAGCGCAGCACAUGUCGCGCAAACGAGUGCCUUGGUACGGCGGCGUCCAUAAGCCCCUCUCUCACGCUCUUGACCUCGGAUCAGGUAGGGAUACCCGCUGAACUUAAGC
rnacentral:misc_RNA from 1 species